AAUGUAUGAGUGACAGCACAGAAUGGCUUGAAAACUUCUUUGGCCAUCUGGCUUAUCUCGUUAUGCAAUCGGUGGUUUGAAAAUCUUCUAUUUCUGUUCCACUUAAUCCCAAACAACUGUUUUGCGUGUAUCGUUGUUACCUCCAAAAUGUUAAACAAGUUUAGUUUGCGCAGAUUCGAUUGGGUUAUCUUGGUUAACACGGUGAAGACUUGAUUUCAUGAUGAAUGAACAGCUCUCGGGCGCUCAGCACGCACGCGCGAGCAUCACUGGCUCAGAAACCACGCGGAGACACGGAGAGAGCACAGCGCUCAAGUGAGCGAUUUCAAUCCACACCUUUCAGUCACUACUGGCAUACGGCUCCGUGCCUGUAUUUCGGAAACGCAAACGUUCAUCCUCCCGCCGGCGGGUUGGCUUCUCAGUCAAGAAAGUCUGUGGACAGGGCUCAAACAUGAACCAAAGCGCAGGAGCAGCGCAGCACAGUCGGAGAUACUCCAGUGAUGACAAGGAUGCUGGGCCUAUUGCAACAGAUUGGAACUGGAAGGGCAUCGGUAUCGCCCUCUUUGUUAUUCUGGUAGUGCUUUCCCUCAUUGGACUAUCGAUUGUUCUGCUAUCAAAAGAAGACCGUGGAAAUUGUUUGGGAUCACAGUUGACACUGGAUGACAUCUUCCAAAGGAACUUCCAAAUACAAGAUCCUGAAGCAAAGUGGAUCAGUGAAAAAGAAAUCAUCUUUCGAAACUGGGAUGGAGACUUAUUGAAAAUUAACACAGAGAUCAACCAGACACAGCUCCUGCUGAAAAACACAACUUUUUCCACCUUUAAAGCCUCAAAGUUUGCAGUUUCUCCAGACCUGAACUUUAUUCUUCUGGGAUAUGAUGUCAAGCAGGUGUAUCAACACUCUUUCUUGGCAUCGUACCUAAUCUACAACCUGUAUACAAGGGAAGUGCUGGAGCUAAAUCCUCCAGAAGUCUCCAAUUCAGUCCUCCAGUUUGCUUCUUGGGGUGUUGGUGGUCAGCAGCUGAUAUACAUAUUUGAAAACAACAUUUACUACCAAUCAGAUGUUCAGAGCAGCUCUUGGAGACUCACAUCAUCUGGACAGGAGGGGGUCAUUUUCAACGGCAUUGCAGACUGGCUAUAUGAAGAGGAGGUUUUGCACACUCAAACAGCUCACUGGUGGUCACCUGAUGGCUCAAGACUUGCUUACCUGACCAUCAAUGACUCCCUAGUCCCAAACAUGCUCCUGCCAUGUUACAUGGGUUCUAUUUAUCCAAGGGGGAAAGAGUACCCAUACCCAAAGAUGGGUCAAAUCAAUCCCACUGUAAGCCUUUAUGUUGUAAUUCUUGAUGGCAGCUCCCAAACAACUAAACUGUUACCACCGGACAGUCUCGUAAAGAGUCCAUACUACAUCACUAUGGUGAAAUGGGUGACAGUGGACAAGCUUGCUGUGCGCUGGUUAAAUCGGGCACAAAACAUGUCCAUUCUUACACUCUGUGUCAUAUCCACUAAUAAAUGCACAAAGAUACAAGUGAUGAUGUCAGAUAAGUGGCUCGAUCGACAGAAUGAAGAGCCAAUGUUUUCAAAGGACUGUACGAUAUUCUUCACGACGCUGCCAAUAAAACACGUUGUACUUGGAGCAUUCCACCACGUGACCAUGAUCUCCAACCAAGGAGAUGACAUCAAACUUCGCCCCUUGACUUCAGGAAGCUGGGAGGUCUCCCAAAUUCUGGGCUAUGAUGAGAGCACUAAAUCUGUUUACUUCCUAAGCAAAGAGACUGGCACAGCACAACAACAGUUAUACAGGGUCUUAGCUGUGGAACCGUUUCAUAAACAAUGCCUCACCUGCUCCCUCUUCAAGUCACAGUGUACUUACUAUGAUGCUGUGCUCAGUACAAACUAUCAGCAUGUUCUUCUCCAAUGUAGAGGCCCUGGAAUACCCCAAACUACUCUGCACAGAUUCAAUAAAAUGAAAGACUAUAUGACUCUGGAGAAGAACACAGUAUUACAACACGCUCUGAUCAACCGGAAAUUACCAAAACGGGAAAAAAGAACUGUACAAAUCAACAAUGUUGCUCUUCCUAUGGAGUUAAUUGUCCCCAAUGAUUUUGAUGAAACGUAUAAGCAUCCACUUCUCCUUAUUCUUGGCAGCGCCCCCGGUGGUCAGACUGUGAGUGACCGCUUCAGCAUCAAUUGGGAUUCAGUGCUUAUCAGUUUGGAGAACGUCAUCGUGGCUCGUGUGGACGGUCGAGGCAGCAGCUUCCAGGGCCAGAGGGUCCUGCAAGAGGUCCACCGGCGACUGGGCACUGUUGAUGUUGCGGACCAGAUCGCAGCUGUACAAAACCUCAUCAAGCUCCCAUACAUCGAUGGGACUAAAGUCGCAGUUUAUGGAAAGGCAUAUGGGGGAUUUCUUACAUCGAUCCUAUUACUCUCCUUCAGCUCAACUUUCAGCUGUGGAAUCGUGGUCGCUCCAAUAGUAAAUUGGAGAUUUUAUGGGUCUGCUCUCACUGAGAAAUAUUUUGGAUAUCUGCCGAAAGAAGAUCCCAAGUACCAGGUCGUGUUAUGCUGUAGCUUUUCUUGGAAAGGAAUUGUCAUUAUUCAGUGAAACAUUGUUUAAUUCCCUAAAUCUAAACCCAAAUGUAUUUACACCCUGUCUAAUUUGAUCUGGUGAAUGGCUGUCUCCUGUCUGGAAACGGCUCAAGAAAGUAGCCAAAGACUGAACAUUGUGGCGUGUUAAAGAUGUGUGUGGGUCAUACAAAUACAUAACAGGAAAAAGCAAUCCAUGAUGGCAUGCGAUAUUACUGCAUCUGUUGCAGUCUUUUCAAAAGACGGCGUGGGGCUUUGAAUGCGGGCUUAUUAAUGCUGUGGUGAUGACCGCUUGAUUCAUUUGAUUCCGAGAAAUAUGAAUUUCCCUUUGAGAAAACCACAUAGGAGGCAGCACAAGCCGGUCAAGGCUCGAGUAUACAGUAUAUGCACCUCGACCUAUCCCGGUAGAGCAGCGCAUCCUCGAUUACAUUUUUAAUCGGAAUGAAAUGUAUUAUACUCAUAAUGGGAAACAAUUAUGACAAUGUUUGUGUUUGCGAGGUAUCGCUUCACUUCUAAAUAAAACUGGUUUGUUCCCCGGGAAGAAAAAAAAUGGAUCAAAUAAAUGUGGCUAGAACUGAUUUGGAGCACUACAAUAACAUAAUGUAGUGAAAGAACCUUGUGAAAUAGAGAACUACGGUAUAUUAUGUUUAAUAUUUUAGUUGGAGAUGCACUAAAAAUGUUGCCAUACAGGGGAAACACUUUCUUCUUUCUUUUUAUUUUUUUGUUCGUCCAUGAAUAAACAAUCUGUGUCCGAAUUUUGACCCCAUUAGGGAUGUCGCUAAUGGUGUCCGUUUGAGAGUUUGACAGCAAAAAAGUCGAAUACCUAACGUUAAUACUGAUGUUAAAAUCGUAAACAAGGUUUUGAUUGAACUUUUUAUCAUUUUUUUGACCUCAAGGGGCAAUAUUGUACCAGUCAUUAUUUUGUCUGCAUGUCUGUAUGCGGAGGUGGAAAGUUUAAAGAUGAAUUGAUUUGAGUGCCGACGGUUGUUUGUUUCUAUGUGCCCUGCGAUUGGCUGGCGACCGAUUCAGGGUGUACCCCGCCUCCCGCCCGAUGAUCGCUGGGAUAGGUUCCAGCACGCCCGCGACCCUACUGAGGAUAAGCGGUUUCAAGUCUGCUCAGUAACAUCACAGGACAAGUAAGAUCACAGGACAAGUUGAAAUUUCUUAUCAUCCAUGGCACAGCAGAUGCUACUGUUCAUUUCCAGCACUCUGCUGAGUUGAUCAAACUCCUG